CUUCCUCUCUGAGCUCCAUGUGUGGAGCCUGCGCCCAGCCUGGCUUGGCUGCCCUCGUUGAUCUGAACGUGGGAGGAGAGAGCACAGGUGUUUGAUCCUCAACUCUCUCAACUCCAGAACUCCCCACACUAGGAAGAUGCAAGCCAUCAAGUUGCAGAUGCUACCAUGACACCAACCUGACUUGCCUGGGCAGACACACUCAUCAAUGUGUCCUGGAGCCCCACCUCCACAGAUACCUGCCCCACUAGGGAAAGACAGAGGCAGGCUGAGAGUAUGGAUAGACCUGCCAACACCCAUGUCCAGUGGAGAAGCAAUUACAAAAGCCAGA